GAUGAACGCUGGCGGCGUGCCUAAUACAUGCAAGUCGAACGAAGAUCUAGCUUGCUAGAUCUUAGUGGCGAACGGGUGAGUAAUACAUAAAUAAUCUGCCCAUAUGACUGGGAUAACUAUUGGAAACGAUAGCUAAUACCGGAUAGGUUGAUCGGAGGCAUCUCUGAUGAAUUAAAGUAGGAUUUCUACACAAAUGGAUGAGUUUAUGGCGCAUUAGUUAGUUGGUGGGGUAACGGCCUACCAAGACGAUGAGGCGUAGCGGACCUGAGAGGGUGACCGGCCACACUGGGACUGAGACACGGCCCAGACCCCUACGGGAGGCAGCAGUAGGGAAUUUUCGGCAAUGGGCGCAAGCCUGACCGAGCAACGCCGCGUGAGUGAUUAAGGCCUUCGGGUUGUAAAGCUCUGUUGUAAGGGAAGAACAUUCAGGAUAGGAAAUGAUCUUGAACUGACGGUACCUUACCAGAAAGCCACGGCUAACUACGUGCCAGCAGCCGCGGUAA
rnacentral:rRNA from 1 species